UAAUUGACCGGAGACUAUACCAUAUAAGGUCUAAUCACAACUUAGUCUUCUUUUUUAUUUUUUCUUUAUUUAGGAGACCAAUUGUUAAAGAUAUGAACUUGGUAUUAUUUUUAUGGUUUUAUGUGGGGUUUUUAUGUUCUUUUGUUCAUUUUGCACUUAUAAUUUUACUGAAUUGCAGUUUUUACAUUAUGUUUUAAUAGUUAGUAGUUUCAUGAAUGAUGAAGUUUACGUUGCCAUAUAGAGUAGUUUGUGAUGAUAUACUUCAUAAACCUUCACUUAUGUUAAAUUUGUAAUGAUAAAAUUUAUAUUGUAAAUUAAAAUUACUUAUAAAAUUGGACAUUACAACAUAUGAAAGACAAAUUGUGUUACAUAUUUUACUUUUGACUCCAAUAUGAAUAUCUCAAUUUAAAUCUUUGUUUUAUUUUCUCUUUCUUUUUACAGGUAUAAAAGGUGAGAAUUGAAGCAAGAUUGAUUGCAAGCUAUGUGUCACCACAUUAUUGAUACUUUGGAAGGAAUUUUUACUUAUAUGUCUUUGUUAGGAGUAAUAUUUGAUAUAUUUUAGUUAGAUUUUUUUGUCAUUGGACAUAUUUUACUUUUA
rnacentral:lncRNA from 1 species